ensembl:lncRNA
GUACAGGAUGGCAGGCAGGCUCAGGGUCAGGCAGAGGUACAGGAUGGCAGGCAGGCAGGCUCAGGCAGAGGUACAGGAUGUCAGGCAGGCUCAGGGUCAGGCAGGGGUACAGGCUCAGGGUCAGGCAGAGGUACAGGAUCAGGGUCAGGCAGAGGUACAGGCUCAGGGUCGGGAGAGGUACAGGACGGCAGGCAGGCUCAGGGUCAGGCAGAGGUACAGGACGGCAGGCAGGCUCAGGGUCAGGCAGGGGUACAGGAUGGCAGGCAGGCUCAGGGUCAGGCAGAGGUACAGGAUGGCAGGCAGGCUCAGGGUCAGGCAGAGGUACAGGAUGUCAGGCAGGCUCAGGGUCAGG